ensembl:lincRNA
CAAUUCUGUAGCAGUAGGGCAACUACAGUCUACAGCAGUUAUUUUCUUUGCUUUAUGAAAAAUAAACACAGAGUUUUAUAAUCAAAUAAUAAGGGAAUGACACAAAAUGAUUAGAAGAUUUUUGAGUGUUUGCAACACAGAGGAAUAAUACAUGAUAAAGGAGAUGAAAAUAUUCAUUAUCCUAAUUUGAUUGUAUAUUAUAACCAGGGAGCAAAUUAUCGUAUUGUACCCUGUAAAUACAAAUAGUGUGUGAGCUCUGUUCAGUGACAUAUUCUGUUCAAUUAAAACAGAAGCCCCUGUCCCUAAAUUAGUGCCUAUUAUAGAUAGUCAAUUCUGGAUGAAUACUUCCUGAAUAAAUGAGUAAGUUCAGAUACCUGAACUGCCCGCCAAAUGCAAAGCUCAAUACCUUUUCUAAUUAAAUGUGCACGUAUCUUUAAUGAACACAGAGGUGGAAGUUUGCACCAGUAAAAGGCUCCAGCUCAGUUACUUUGCUAUUCUGUCGCCCCGUGUGUUCUUUGCAAAACUGUCCCACCAUCCAAUCGCCAACAUCCUUUUCCCAUAUCAGCUUUUGCCAAAUACCAUUUUUUUUUUUCAUUUUUCUCAGCAGAUCUGGACCUUCAGUCUGGCAGGCGACUGAAGUCAGCCCAGAAGGUAAAGGUGGUGUUGUGUGUUCUGCUAUAACCUUGAGUGGGGCAGAAAUGACCUGCAGAGCAAGCCUCAGUCACCAGCUUCAGCUCUUUUUGAGUUGGGUGUCCGGAGCAGAUUGCCCUAGAUUCUGUGCACGGAGCCUGGAAUGCCCAAGAUCGCCAUGAUACGUGAAGAAUCAGGCUGAAAAGAAUGCAGUGCUGACCUGUCCUCUAAGCGGGGUCCCAUGGUGGAGACAUUUGCAUGCUUGCAAUAACGUGCGCGCAUUUAAGUGAUGCUUUUACUCUUUGGGGAGUUUAACAAUUUUGAGAACAACCGUCUUAUUAGUCGUGGAAAAAGACACAGCAUGAAGACCCAUAGAAGGCAAAUUCCACUGUUUGCCGAGAGACGGAUUUAUAACCAUUGGCUAUGCAUCAAAACCUGGCUUCAUUUUUUUCCUUCUGUCGUUAAUGUAGACAGGAAAUCACAAUUUCCAGAUGGGGUGAUUCCCCAACCUGCCACACCAUAUAAGGUUCCGGUACAUCUUCUUCUAUUGGAAAGGAAAUCAUCCAUCCCAUUACUGGCCACACAUUGGUAAAAUUAGUGUUUUUAUGGGGGAAACCAUAGGGGUAGCAAAAGAGAAGGCAAGCAAAUGACUUUAUAAGAUUUAAAGCUAUUAGCUAAGAAAUUAGAUAGCAGGAAAGAGCUCACCAGCUUCUCAUUUUUAAUGAUUAAAUACAUUCACAUCGCCACAAGAAUUCUCAACUUCCUGGUGAGUGCGAAAUCCAAAUUCCUUACAUCCAUCACCCCAGAGUCAUCUGGACCCAGUUCUGUGACUGUCUGUAGCACUGGCUUCGUCUCUUGGGGUUUCCCUACCUUUAUAGGGAAGCGCUGUCCUCUUGAAACCUUUCCCCAAAUCAUCUUUUCCUUCUUUUCCCCCUAGCCCUUCAAGCGCAAAACUGCUUUCACUCAUCCGGGUUCUCAGACUCUCUUUCUGAUAACUCCUCUGCGUCUUUCCGCAUACUUACCCACUGUGCUUCUCUCACCAGAAAUGCACGGCACUUUCACAUCGGUUGCGGUGGCAAAGUAUGCGUGGGCUUCCGCUAAGGGCAAAGGGUCCUUCGUUAGGCAAGGCGGUUUGAUGGACAUUACGGAGACCUUAGACGGGAAGUAGGACAGGAUGAACCCCCAUAGCAUAAGUGCUGUGUUGAGGUGAAGGAUUUGCUUUUCUCACAACAUCUACCUAAGAACAAGGGAGCUGUGCACCUCUCCAGGGACUAGAAGUUGACAUUGCACCAAAGAGACAUCAUCUCAAAACUAUUCCACCCCUCGCCUCUUCUGCCAAAGGCCCAUUUAUUUUUUCUAAAAGUGCCUCUGUUUCCCUCCCCUUUACCUUAGGAGGCACUUCACGCCCCAAAUCUAUCCAUCUACUCACGUCACAUUUUUCUCUGAAUUCCUAUGCAUAAGCGAAUCGAGACUUUUUUCAUUCCUUGCUAAUCUGUAUUUGGUCAGUUUUAUGAGCAAGACCUCAGUGAUUGAAUUUAAGAGAAAAAAGAACAAAGUUUUCCUGACUCAGUAUCAGCUACUGGGCUGAAAACGGCUUACGUCUAAACAGAAACAUGGAAAUGAAGCUUUUAAUAUUGAUAUGCAUUAAUGAAAAUGAUGUGUUUUUAAAGGAAUAAUGAGAGUCAUUAAAACUUAUAUACAGUACAUGCGUUAUGUGCAUACAUGUGCAGGCAAAAAUGACGCUCUCUUAAAGAAACUUCGCAGCACCAUUCUCGGAAUUGUGCUUUUUUUUUUUUGUACCCGAGAUCGAAUUCGGGACCUUGUUGCUUGAGAGUCAUGGGGCAAAACCACUGAGCUAAAUCCUCAGCCCUGUUUGUGCUAUUUUGAUUGUCCUCUUUUGCUCGGCAUACUUUCCAGGUUCGUCCAGUCCUGGAAUCCCCUUCCCUUUUCAGGUGGACUCGUACUCCAUUCUGAGUGCAGACCGCCUUUUCUUUAUUCAUUCACUUAGCGAUGGUCGUCUGAGUUUGGACCCCUGGCAGCUGCUGUGAAUGAUUCUUUACUGAGCACGGCUGCGUAUCUAUCGGGUUGAGAUUCUGAUGGUUACCUAGAAAUGAAAUUACACAACCUUAUUAUUAUUUUUUUUUCUUAAGGAAAUUGAGCACCACAGUCCGAGUCAGAGUCAGGAAACGAAAUUCCUGACUCUUAGAUACACCGGGAUAAAGAUAAACUAAUGACACAUGGAGGCCAGUGACUCCCUAGACAUCUGUUUCCCCCGGGCUUUGUAAACAGAGAGAAGCCUGAACAUGGAUUAUAGUUAUCUGAGUAGAGCAGGCCCC